UCGGGAAUUUUGGGCAAUGGGCGAAAGCCUGACCCAGCAACGCCGCGUGAAGGAUGAAGUCUUUCGGGAUGUAAACUUCGUAAAAAUAGGAAGAAUAAAUGACGGUACUAUUUGUAAGGUCCGGCUAACUACGUGCCAGCAGCCGCGGUAAUACGUAGGGACCAAGCGUUGUUCGGAUUUACUGGGCGUAAAGGGCGCGUAGGCGGCGUGGUAAGUCACUUGUGAAAUCUCCGAGCUUAACUCGGAACGGUCAAGUGAUACUGCUGUGCUAGAGUACAGAAGGGGCAAUCGGAAUUCUUGGUGUAGCGGUGAAAUGCGUAGAUAUCAAGAGGAACACCUGAGGUGAAGACGGGUUGCUGGGCUGACACUGACGCUGAGGCGCGAAAGCCAGGGGAGCAAACGGGGAUUAGAUACCCCCGUAGUCCCUGAGCGGGCUGGCAAGGCGCAU
rnacentral:rRNA from 1 species